rnacentral:lncRNA from 1 species
CCUUGCUCCAGGCCACUGACUUUUACGUAUGCCCUGGAUAUCACAGAGGUCGUGCGUUCCACAAUAAGUGUGGUGGCGAGUCAGAUUACUAUUGUGCCUCCUGGAGAUGUGAGACCACUGGAACAACUUAUUGGGAACCAACUUCUUCCUGGGAUUACAUCACAGUAUCUAGAAAUUUUUCUCCCCCCUCUAACUAUCUCCAUCGCAACCCCCUCUGUAAGGGCAGUGAACCAUCCACCCAAGGUUGGUGUCUUCCCCUGGAUAUUAAAUUUACCAAUCACAGUAAGGGGCAAGGAUUGGGCACAUGGCUUCUCAUGGGGCCUCCAUUUAUAUCAGGUUGGGUCAGACACAGGUCUCACUUUCACCAUAAAACUUCUCAAAGAACCUGUCCAUGCUUCCAAGCCAAUACCAAUUGGGCCUAAUCCCAUUUUAGUACCUCCACUCCAAUCUCCUUCAGAACCACAGUCCCCUACCUCUGCUAAUCAUGUUCCCACAUUGUUAGUUUCUUCUCCCCAGAACCUCGUCCUUACCCUAAUAAAUCAAACCUUUCUUACGCUUAAUGCUACUUCCCCCGAUCUUGUGGACAAUUGCUGGCUAUGUUAUCAUUCUCAGCCACCCUUUUAUGAGGGAAUUGCUAUUCCUGGCACAUUUUUUCCCACCAAUGAUUCUAGACAUUGCCGCUGGCAACCUGGAGAAUGGAAUGGUUUGUCCCUCUCCCAGGUCUCUGGAUUGGGCCUUUGUGUUACCCUUAUAACUCCCCCCAUUACAGUAUGCCCACCUUUGUAAUCUCACCCUUGCCCCUGAUAAAAACAGUCAAUACCUGUUGCCCCCUAAUGAUGCCUGGUGGGUUUGCCUCGAUGGCCUUACUCCCUGCCUUUCAACUGAGGCCUUUUCCCCCAUAAAGUCAGAUUUUUGUAUUCUUGUACAAUUAGUUCCUCGAUUAAUUUAUUAUUGUUCAGAGGAAUUUUUUCAUCUCUGGGAUCAGUCUUCUGACCUAUCCCCCACUUUGGUCCGUCAGCGACGAGAACCUAUUUCUGCCAUCACCAUAUCAGUGCUCCUUGGCCUUGGUGCCAUGGGAGCAGGGACAGGUAUCUCUUCACUCGUUCUCUCUAAAUCCAGGUACCAAGAACUCAGUGCUACCAUCGAUGCUGACGUCCAAAGACUCCAACAAGGGGUUGACGACCUGUCUGACUCUCUGUCUUCCCUCGCAGAAGUGGUCCUUCAGAAUCGC